UACGUAGGGGCAAGCGUUGUCCGGAAUCAUUGGGCGUAAAGCGCGUGUAGGCGGCCCGGUAAGUCCGCUGUGAAAGUCGGGGGCUCAACCCUCGAAUGCCGGUGGAUACUGUCGGGCUAGAGUGCGGGAGAGGCGAGUGGAAUUCCUGGUGUAGCGGUGGAAUGCGCAGAUAUCAGGAGGAACACCGGUGGCGAAGGCGGGAUCCUGGGCCAGUACUGAGCGCUGAGGAGCGAAAGCGUGGGGAGCAAACAGG
rnacentral:rRNA from 1 species